rnacentral:lncRNA from 13 species
AAGGAAUUGGGGAAAAGAACUGUGAAGUUUAUCUAUGUCUACCAUAAUGCCAUGUAAGAAAUCACACUAAAAUGUUAUAGCUUAAUAUAAUAACCAUAUUAUUUUUCAAGAGUUUAUAAAUUGGCUUGGUGGUCCUGCUGAUAGAGGCCCAACUAGCUGAUCUUAGCUGGGCUGACUCAUACCUCUGUUGUCAGUUGCAGAUCAACAAGGUCGAGUUGCUGUUUCACUUGGGCUCAUACAUAUACGUGAGGACUUGGACAAGACAAGUGGGCUUCCUCAGAGACAGAUUCCCAGUGAAGACAAUGUGAAGACAGAGGCGAGAGAGAUCACUCACAGCUGGGGAUUGCCCACAGUCAUCAGAAGCUGAAAGAAGUAAGGACAGCUGGGAUUGCCCACAGUCUUCAGAAGCUGAGAGAGGUAAGGAACCGAUUCUUUCUUAGAGCAUCUGGAGGGAAUGCAGCCCUGC